UACAGAGGCCCCGAGCGUUAUCCGGAAUCAUUGGGCGUAAAGGGUGUGUAGGUGGCGUUGUUAGUCGUUUGUGAAAGCCCGGGGCUCAACCUCGGAGACGCGAACGAAACGGCAAUGCUUGAGUAUGUGAGAGGUAAGCGGAACUCAAGGUGUAGGGGUGAAAUCCGUUGAUAUCUUGGGGAACACCAAAAGCGAAGGCAGCUUACUGGCACAUUACUGACACUGAAACACGAAAGCGUGGGUAGCGAAUGGG
rnacentral:rRNA from 1 species